UAAGAAGGAACUCAGUCUAAGUACGCCACUACAUGCGCACAACGACUGGGUGACCAUCAUCAUGUUGG
rnacentral:sRNA from 1 species